CUUUUGUUUACAUUUCAUUUGUUUGACAUUUCAUACAAUUCUAAAAAUUGUGUCAGCAGCAAUAUGGAAGUGGACAAUAGUGGUGAAAUGUUUUUACAUUUGUGCGAAUUGUACUUUUUAUAUAGUUUAUAUAAACAGUAUAAAAACAAAAAACGAAAGAGAAAGUACAAAAUUCGCCCAAUUAAUAAAAACUGGGGCGUUUGCGGUUACCAGAUAAAAACUUUUCUGCUAAUGAAAAACAGCAAAACAGAACAACUUUUUUUUGCAUACAAGGAUGCGGCCGGACGUCUAUAAUUUGCUUCUGAAUUUGGCAUGGAAAUCCUUGAAGAAGCCAUGGCAGCGGAUUGGACCCGAGGAAAGGCUCUCGUUGGUAUUACUCUAUUUGUCACAAGGCGUGUCGGUGCAGAGCAUUGCAUGGAGCGGGAAGAAUUUAGUAUACCAUCCCAGGAUUUCAAGGAUAAAAAGGAUAUGGUCGGAUAGAGGAGAUUCUCCUGAUCACGAAUAUAUAUGGUUAUAGCCGCAGGAAGCUUAUAGUUUAAAAGAUAUUCGCGUUUAAAAUUUAAAAUUUGCAAUAAUUUUAUAUCAUUUUUUCUAUAUAUAAAAUUAAUUUUUUAAUUAUAUUUUUCAAUUUUAUAUACACUAGCACAUCACUAAUUCGUUUGUACACAUUUAUUUUAUAUCAUAUAGUGCAAAAAUAUCUUUUAUUAUACUUCUAAAUUAUUACUAUUUUAGAAUAACAAAUGAAUUACAAACUGUCAAAUAAUCAGUUUUACCUUAUCGACAUCAUUUGUAAAAAUAUAUUUGUCAAAUAAUUAGUGUUACCUUAUCGACAUCAUUUGUAAUAAAGUGAACAGAUUAUACCCCAACUACGAGAAUCAACAACCAAUAAAAAAAAUAACUCUGGUCGGUCCAACACCGGGGUGUAUCAAAUUUUUUCGCGUAGAACUCCUUUUUGCGUGGGCGGCCUUCGGCUGCGCUUCAAAAAUAAUAACCCUGGUCGGUCCAACACCGGGGUGUGUCAGAUUUUUUUUUCGCGUAGAACUCCUUUUUGCGUGGGCGGCCUUCGGCUGCGCUUAAAAAAAAAUAACCCUGGUCGGUCCAACACCGGGGUGUACCAAAUUUUUUUCGCGUAAAACUCCUUUCUGCGUGUAAAAAAACUAAAAGAAAUAAAGUAAAAAGAUUAUACCCUAAAUAAGAGAAUAGAAAACAUAAAAUAUAAAGAAAUUAUUUAAAUUUAAUAAAAAAACGUGUGAGGCUUGUAUAUAAAUUUUAUUGCCUCUAACAACUUAACAAAUGGAUCUUCGUUUAAUUUAAUAAAAAUUAUAUUUUAUACGUCCACUCAGCUUAUUUUCCAAAUACGAAAUAAUUAUAAAAAGGACAAGAAAAAGCAACGACACUUUUCUUUAAAAGUAGCGGUACUUAUAUCCGUUAGAUCGCAUUGAAGUUAGAGUGGUUGUUAUACCCUCUAUGACAUUGCUACUUCUUCGCGUAGAACUACGUUUUGCGUUGGCGACCUUCGGCCGCGCUUCAAAAAAAAAAUACUCUGGUCUGUCUAACUCCGGGUUUUUACCAAAUUUUCUUCGCGACGAAAUCCUUUUUUCGUUUGCGGCCUUCGGCCGCGCUUUAAAAAAAAUAACCCUUGUCGGCCCAACACCGGGUGUAUACAUUUUUUUUCUCCCCUAGAUUUCAUUUUUACAUUGGCGGCCUUCAGGCCGCUUAAAUUUUUUUAUUGUUUAUCAACGAUUAUGUUUCCUUUAAUUAGGGUAUAAUAUUUCUUUUUAUUUUUUUUUGUUUUAGUUUGUAAAAUAUUUUAGUACGUUAACACUAAUUAUUGGACAAAUAUAUUUUUACAAAUGAUGUCGAUAAGGUAACACUGAUUAUUUGACAGUUUGUAAUUCAUUUGUUAUUCUAAAAUAGUAAUAAUUCAACAAUAAUUUGAAAGUAUAAUAAAAGAUAUUUUUGCACUAUAUGAUAUAAAAUAAAUGUGUACAAACGAAUUAGUUAUGUGUUAGUGUAUAUAAAAUUGAAAAAUAUAAGUGAAAAAUUAAUUUUAUAUAUAGAAAAAAUGAUAUUAAAAUAUUGCAAAUUUUAAAUUUUAAACGCGAAUAUCUUUUAAACUAUAAGCUUCCUGCGGCUAUAACCAUAUAUACUCGUGAUCAGGAGAAUCUCCUCUAUCCGACCAUACCCAUUUUUUUCCCGAAAUCCUGGGACGGUAUACUAAAGCCGACCCCAUGGAGCUAUAAGUUAGGAAAGUCAACAGUACGCGAAAUCAUAUUAGAGACGUGUGAAGUAAUCUGGCAGCUACUUUCCCCAAUUUAUGUAAGCGAGCCAACAGAGUCUCAAUACAAGGACAUUGCCAAAUAUUUUUAUAAUAUGUGGAACAUUCCGAAUUGUGUCGGUGCAAUUGAUGGUAGGCACGUUGCUAUUAGGUGCCCAGCCAAUUCCAAUUCGAUGUUUUACAAUUAUAAAAAAUUCUUUAACAUCGUUUUGAUGGCUGUAUGUGAUGCGAAAUAUACGUUCACAGCAGUUAGUAUUGGCAGCUAAGGAAGUCAAAGUGACGGAGGAAUCAUUCGACUUACUCCAUUUGGCCGUGCGCUAAUACAAAACACUCCGCCUUUGCCACCACCUGUGCCACUGUCUGACGUGUCACCGGAACCUUUUCCUUACUUUUUCGUUGGAGAUGCUGCACUCCCAUUACGAAAUAAUUUAAUGCGCCAAUUUCCUGGAGCUAAUCUAACACACACGAAGCGUAUUUUCAACUAUCGAUUGUCACGCGCUCGUAGAGUCAUAGAAAAUUCCUUUGGUAUAUUGACUGCUCGGUGGAGAAUUUUGAAAACAACGAUUGAAUGUAAUCCAGAAAAUUGUGAAAAAAUUGUGUUGUCUUGCAUAGCCUUACACAAUUUUAUGAUGUUGAAUGACCACAAUUGCUGGUAUUGUCCGGAGAACUAUGUAGAUCGAGUGGAAGGAGAAAACAUUGUUCAUGCCGGUGAGUGGCGCCGGGAAAAUGAAAACAACUCUUUACGACCAAUGCGAACUUCGGUACGUAGAGGUCCUUCAAAUGCGUUUAACUUACGGGAGAGACUUCCUAACUAUUUUAUAAAUGAAGAAUCUGUACCAUUCCAGAACAAUUUAGACUCCAUUACAGGAGGAUCAUAUGCUCCUGGAGGACCUUAUUAGAAAUAAAUACCAUUUUUUUUUAGUUCACGAGAUUUGAAGAAUUGAAAUAAAUGAAAUUUUAAUUAAAAACAAAAUAAUAUUUUUAGAAUUAUUUACAUAAGAAAUGAAUUAUCUAACAACAUAUAAAUAAUAGUGAAAUAAUAAUUUAAAAAUAAAUACUUCAUUUAUAUAUUCUAUAUUAAAUUAA